GACGAACGCUGGCGGCGUGCCUAAUACAUGCAAGUCGAGCGGACUUGUAGGAGCUUGCUCCUGCAGGUUAGCGGCGGACGGGUGAGUAACACGUGGGCAACCUACCUAUAAGACUGGGAUAACUUCGGGAAACCGGAGCUAAUACCGGAUGACACAAAGGAACUCCUGUUCCUUUGUUGAAAGAUGGCUUCGGCUAUCACUUAUAGAUGGGCCCGCGGCGCAUUAGCUAGUUGGUGAGGUAACGGCUCACCAAGGCGACGAUGCGUAGCCGACCUGAGAGGGUGAUCGGCCACACUGGGACUGAGACACGGCCCAGACUCCUACGGGAGGCAG
rnacentral:rRNA from 1 species